rnacentral:sRNA from 1 species
AAAAACCGGCGCUCAUUAGGGCAGAAUGCAGCCUACGGAGGAUGGCGGAAGAGGCUGCUGAGGCCGCAGGACGUGCUAUUCCAAGUAUGUUCAUGCAGAUGCUCCUACCAAUAAAACACUGGCUGGGCUGGUGGUGCAGCUUCUUCAGUUCCAGGAAGAUGCCUUUGGGAAGCAUGUCACCAACCCGGCCUUCACCAAACUCCCUGCAAAGUGUUUCAUGGAUUUCAAAGCUGGAGGCACCUUAUGUCACAUUCUUGGGGCUGCUUACAAGUAUAAAAAUGAACAGGGAUGGCGGAGGUUUGACCUACAGAACCCAUCUCGAAUGGAUCGUAAUGUGGAAAUGUUUAUGAACAUUGAAAAAACAUUGGUGCAGAACAAUUGUUUGACCAGACCCAACAUCUACCUCAUUCCAGACAUUGAUCUGAAGUUGGCUAACAAAUUGAAAGAUAUCAUCAAACGACAUCAGGGAACAUUUACGGAUGAGAAGUCAAAAGCUUCCCACCACAUUUACCCAUAUUCUUCCUCACAAGACGAUGAAGAAUGGUUGAGACCGGUGAUGAGAAAAGAGAAGCAAGUGUUAGUGCAUUGGGGCUUUUACCCAGACAGCUAUGAUACUUGGGUCCAUAGUAAUGAUGUUGAUGCUGAAAUUGAAGAUCCACCAAUUCCAGAAAAACCAUGGAAGGUUCAUGUGAAAUGGAUUUUGGACACUGAUAUUUUCAAUGAAUGGAUGAAUGAGGAGGAUUAUGAGGUGGAUGAAAAUAGGAAGCCUGUGAGUUUUCGUCAGCGGAUUUCAACCAAGAAUGAAGAGCCAGUCAGAAGUCCAGAAAGAAGAGAUAGAAAAACAUCAGCUAAUGCUCGAAAGAGGAAACAUUCGCCUUCGCCUCCCCCUCCGACACCAACAGAAUCACGGAAGAAGAGUGGGAAGAAAGGCCAAGCUAGCCUUUAUGGGAAGCGCAGAAGUCAGAAAGAGGAAGAUGAGCAAGAAGAUCUAACCAAGGAUAUGGAAGACCCAACACCUGUACCCAAUAUAGAAGAAGUAGUACUUCCCAAAAAUGUGAACCUAAAGAAAGAUAGUGAAAAUACACCUGUUAAAGGAGGAACUGUAGCAGAUCUAGAUGAGCAGGAUGAAGAAACAGUCACAGCAGGAGGAAAGGAAGAUGAAGAUCCUGCCAAAGGUGAUCAGAGUCGAUCAGUUGACCCUGGGGAAGAUAAUGUGACAGAGCAGACCAAUCACAUUAUUAUUCCUAGUUAUGCAUCAUGGUUUGAUUAUAACUGUAUUCAUGUGAUUGAACGGCGUGCUCUUCCUGAGUUCUUCAAUGGAAAAAACAAAUCCAAGACUCCAGAAAUAUACUUGGCAUAUCGAAAUUUUAUGAUUGACACGUAUCGUCUAAACCCCCAAGAGUAUUUAACUAGCACUGCUUGUCGGAGGAACUUGACUGGAGAUGUGUGUGCUGUGAUGAGGGUCCAUGCCUUUUUAGAGCAGUGGGGACUCGUUAAUUACCAAGUUGACCCGGAAAGUAGACCCAUGGCAAUGGGACCUCCUCCUACUCCUCAUUUUAAUGUAUUAGCUGAUACCCCCUCUGGGCUUGUGCCUCUGCAUCUUCGAUCACCUCAGGUUCCUGCUGCUCAACAGAUGCUAAAUUUUCCUGAGAAAAACAAGGAAAAACCAGUUGAUUUGCAGAACUUUGGUCUCCGUACUGACAUUUACUCCAAGAAAACAUUAGCAAAGAGUAAAGGUGCUAGUGCUGGAAGAGAAUGGACUGAACAGGAGACCCUUCUACUCCUGGAGGCCCUGGAGAUGUACAAGGAUGAUUGGAACAAAGUGUCGGAACAUGUUGGAAGUCGUACUCAGGAUGAAUGCAUCCUCCACUUUUUGAGACUUCCCAUUGAGGACCCAUACCUUGAGAAUUCAGAUGCUUCCCUUGGGCCUUUGGCCUACCAGCCUGUCCCCUUCAGUCAGUCGGGAAAUCCAGUUAUGAGUACUGUUGCUUUUUUGGCAUCUGUGGUGGACCCUCGCGUGGCAUCUGCCGCAGCAAAAGCGGCUUUGGAGGAGUUUUCUCGGGUUCGGGAGGAGGUACCACUGGAAUUGGUUGAAGCUCAUGUCAAGAAAGUACAAGAAGCAGCACGAGCCUCUGGGAAAGUGGAUCCCACCUACGGUCUGGAGAGCAGCUGCAUUGCAGGCACAGGGCCUGAUGAGCCAGAGAAGCUUGAAGGAGCUGAAGAGGAAAAAAUGGAAGCCGACCCUGAUGGUCAGCAGCCUGAAAAGGCAGAAAAUAAAGUGGAAAAUGAAACGGAUGAAGGUGAUAAAGCACAAGAUGGAGAAAAUGAAAAAAAUAGUGAAAAGGAACAGGAUAGUGAAGUGAGUGAGGAUACCAAAUCAGAAGAAAAGGAGACUGAAGAGAACAAAGAACUCACUGAUACAUGUAAAGAAAGAGAAAGUGAUACUGGGAAGAAGAAAGUAGAACAUGAAAUUUCCGAAGGAAAUGUUGCCACAGCCGCAGCAGCUGCUCUUGCCUCAGCGGCUACCAAAGCCAAGCACCUGGCUGCAGUGGAAGAAAGAAAGAUCAAGUCCCUGGUAGCUCUCUUGGUUGAGACACAAAUGAAGAAACUAGAGAUCAAACUUCGACAUUUUGAAGAGCUGGAAACUAUCAUGGACAGAGAGAAAGAAGCUCUAGAACAACAGAGGCAGCAGUUGCUUACUGAACGCCAAAACUUCCACAUGGAACAGCUGAAGUAUGCUGAAUUACGAGCACGACAGCAAAUGGAACAGCAGCAGCAUGGCCAGAACCCUCAACAGGCACACCAGCACUCAGGAGGACCUGGCCUGGCCCCACUUGGAGCAGCAGGGCACCCUGGCAUGAUGCCUCAUCAACAGCCCCCUCCCUACCCUCUGAUGCACCACCAGAUGCCACCACCUCAUCCACCCCAGCCAGGUCAGAUACCAGGCCCAGGUUCCAUGAUGCCCGGGCAGCACAUGCCAGGCCGCAUGAUUCCCACUGUUGCAGCCAACAUCCACCCCUCUGGGAGUGGCCCUACCCCUCCUGGCAUGCCGCCAAUGCCAGGAAACAUCUUAGGACCCCGGGUACCCCUGACAGCACCUAACGGCAUGUAUCCCCCUCCACCACAGCAGCAGCCACCGCCACCGCCACCUGCAGAUGGGGUCCCUCCGCCUCCUGCUCCUGGCCCGCCAGCCUCAGCUGCUCCUUAGCCUGGAAGAUGCAGGGAACCUCCACGCCCACCACCAUGAGCUGGAGUGGGGAUGACAAGACUUGUGUUCCUCAACUUUCUUGGGUUUCUUUCAGGAUUUUUCUUCUCACAGCUCCAAGCACGUGUCCCGUGCCUCCCCACUCCUCUUACCACCCCUCUCUCUGACACUUUUUGUGUUGGGUCCUCAGCCAACACUCAAGGGGAAACCUGUGGUGACAGUGUGCCCUGGUCAUCCUUAAAAUAACCUGCAUCUCCCCUGUCCUGGUGUGGGAGUAAGCUGACAAGUUUCUCUGCAGGUCCUGUCAACUUUAGCAUGCUAUGUCUUUACCAUUUUUGCUCUCUUGCAGUUUUUUGCUUUGUCUUAUGCUUCUAUGGAUAAUGCUAUAUAAUCAUUAUCUUUUUAUCUUUCUGUUAUUAUUGUUUUAAAGGAGAGCAUCCUAAGUUAAUAGGAACCAAAAAAUAAUGAUGGGCAGAAGGGGGGGAAUAGCCACAGGGGACAAACCUUAAGGCAUUAUAAGUGACCUUAUUUCUGCUUUUCUGAGCUAAGAAUGGUGCUGAUGGUAAAGUUUGAGACUUUUGCCACACACAAAUGUGUGAAAAUUAAAUGAGAUGUGGAAGGAG